rnacentral:misc_RNA from 1 species
CUUUAUAAUUAAUCAUUUAGCUGUAGAAUGCCAAGAAGCUGGAAUCGUAUUGCAGAUAUUCUACACAGGUCUGUUGUUACAGGACUAAUUGGCUUGACUUUUCUUGGUGUUGGUCUGUGUUCUGUGAGAGCCUACAAUUACAUUACAAUACAGAGACCUCAACAAGCUGAAAAAAGAAUAUUAGCCCAACAGAAAAUAUUAUCUGAGAAAGAGAAUUGUAGCAGUUCAUUUGAAAAUAUUCCCGAUACAGCUUCUGUCGUGCAGGGAUAAUAAAGUCCAUCUACGUUCUCCUACAUUCUAUUUUGGGGACAAUUAUAGUGUGAAUCAUGGCUUUACUAAGGGGAACUUACAAGCUAGCUUCACUGCCUGCAGUAUGUAGAUGUCUCCACCUGUCUCCAGUAGCUCGUCAGAAGUCAUGGAAUAUCUUAAAGUUGAAUCACGUGGCUCUUGCGACAGCUGACUUAGACAA